CUUCCGGACGCGACCCCAGGUCAGGCGGGAUUACCAA
rnacentral:rRNA from 1 species